AUUCAAUAGCCAAAAAGACAAUAAUACCGAUAUCUUAAUACUUUUAAAAAUAUCCCAGCUGAAUCUCUAUUUAUACAAUAUAGGUGAAAAUGAAAAAAAGAUAUUACUAAAAAAAAUAUACUGAUGACUUGCGUAAUUAAUGUGAGAGAUAAAAAGUCAUGAAGAUGCAAAUUUAUUAGCAUUUCAAAAUAUUAAAAAGUAAAACAAAAUAUACAAAAGACGAAUUGGGUAGGAAAUUAUAUUAUGACACAUUAAAAUAAAUUAGAUGAAGCCAAAAUACCAAAAUAUCUUUCCAAUUGUGGCAAAUGUGUGGUGAAGGUGACCGGAAACGAUGAUAAGGAAAGAAUAAAAUAUUACUAAAAUAAUAUAUUUGAGAAAACAUAUAGUGAAAAUAAAAAAGGAUAUGCUUUAUAUUUGAGAAACGUAUAGAUGAAAAUGAGAAAGUAAAAAAAGAUAUACUUUAUGUAUGGAUAAGUAUUAAGAUAUUUUCUAAAAUUUUAUUUUGAUUCAUUUUAAUAUUUGAAUUCAAAUGCGAGAAUAUAUUUAAUUCAAAAUUAUGAUAGGUUGAGAAAAUUUUUAAGAAACGAUAAAAAAAGAUUAAAAUUUUGAUGAGAUACGUGGAUAUUACGUGUGAGAAAGGUUAACUGGAUAUUAUGUAGAUGGUUGACGUUAAUGAUAAGUGGAUUAAUGAGAUAUUUGAGAAAUUUAUGAAUAUUACGUUGAGAAAUUUUUUUAAAAACGAUAAGAAAAGAUUAAAAUUUUGAUGAGAUAUUUGAUAAACGUAUGGAUAUUACGUGUGAGAAGAGUUAAUUGGAUAUUAUGUAAGUGGUUGACCUGUAUAUAAGUGGAUUAAUGAGAUAUUUGAUAAAUUCACGGAUAUUACGUUGAGAAAGUAUUGACGGGUACGAAUAUUACGCGUGAGAAGUAAAAUAUUUGAGAAACGCGUGACGGGAACAGAUAUAAAUGCGAGGGUAUUAUUGUCACACAAAGUGACAGAUACUUUUAUUUUCAAUCGUUAGAUCAAUCGUUAGAUAAGAUCUAAUGAUUAAAAAUUAAUAUCUUUAUUUGAGAAUAAAUUAUUACUUAGUGAAUUAUUUAAAAUGAUUGGUUGAAAAUUACUGGACAUGAAAAUAUUAGCAAAAAGAAUAGAGAUAUAUUU
rnacentral:lncRNA from 1 species